CGAACUAUGGCAUCUACGAUGGCGUCAUGGACGCCAAGCUCUCUCCAGCUCAGGAUUGCCCUCAACUGUCGGAGCUUCAAAGCUGCUCAGGCGAGAGCGAAGUUGACGAAGCUCAGGAUUAUCCAGGUAUUAAGAUUAUAUUUCAUAAAAAAAAAUUUGGUUUAAUUAAUAUCUGAUUUUGUUUUCUUUUAAAUAAUAUUGUCGUAAUGUCUGGCUGCCACGGUUAGUGGGUUCCAUGAAACUUCUGUUGGUCUGUGAGUUUCAUAUUCGUCCGACGACCGACGACCGGUACCUUAUUUUAAGAGGCUCAGGAGAUUGUUUUGUUAUCAUAUACCGGUACACAAACAUUGGUAUUUCUGAAACCGAG
rnacentral:lncRNA from 1 species